GAGAUAACUGACUUCGGUUCCGACUGGGGUUAGUUGAUACUCGAUACUACACUCUUUGAGAUCGGACUUUAGGGAAGCUUCGGUCAACCACUUGGUGUUGCACUGAAGUGGACUCAAAGGAAGGUCGAUGAUUUGAGAUCCUUCUAGAACCCGGUACUAUUCUAGGACAGGUUGAACCAACCAAACUUCAGUGGGGAAGGGUACUUACCUAUGGAACUCAUGCAAGCCUUAAAGCUUAGGAAUGAUUGUUGUGUGACUUGCUUGUGC
rnacentral:lncRNA from 1 species